UACGUAGGUGGCAAGCGUUGUCCGGAUUUACUGGGCGUAAAGGGCGUGCAGGCGGUUUGUUAAGUGCAGGGUGAAAGCUCCCGGCUCAACUGGGAGAGGUCCUUGCAUACUGGCAAACUCGAGGGAGGCAGAGGAAAGUGGAAUUCCCGGUGUAGUGGUGAUAUGCGUAGAUAUCGGGAGGAACACCUGUGGCGAAGGCGGCUUUCUGGGCCUUACCUGACGCUGAGACGCGAAAGCGUGGGGAGCGAGCCGG
rnacentral:rRNA from 1 species